rnacentral:rRNA from 1 species
UGGAGCUUGCUCCAGGGAUUAGUGGCGAACGGGUGAGUAACACGUGAGUAACCUGCCCUUGACUCUGGGAUAAGCGCUAGAAAUGGCGUCUAAUACCGGAUACGAGCUUCAGCCGCAUGGCUAGGAGUUGGAAAGAAUUUUGGUCAAGGAUGGACUCGCGGCCUAUCAGCUAGUUGGUGAGGUAAUGGCUCACCAAGGCGACGACGGGUAGCCGGCCUGAGAGGGUGACCGGCCACACUGGGACUGAGACACGGCCCAGACUCCUACGGGAGGCAGCAGUGGGGAAUAUUGCACAAUGGGCGAAAGCCUGAUGCAGCAACGCCGCGUGAGGGAUGACGGCCUUCGGGUUGUAAACCUCUUUUAGUAGGGAAGAAGCGAAAGUGACGGUACCUGCAGAAAAAGCACCGGCUAACUACGUGCCAGCAGCCGCGGUAAUACGUAGGGUGCAAGCGUUGUCCGGAAUUAUUGGGCGUAAAGAGCUCGUAGGCGGUUUGUCGCGUCUGCUGUGAAAUCUGGGGGCUCAACCCCCAGCCUGCAGUGGGUACGGGCAGACUAGAGUGCGGUAGGGGAGAUUGGAAUUCCUGGUGUAGCGGUGGAAUGCGCAGAUAUCAGGAGGAACACCGAUGGCGAAGGCAGAUCUCUGGGCCGUAACUGACGCUGAGGAGCGAAAGCAUGGGGAGCGAACAGGAUUAGAUACCCUGGUAGUCCAUGCCGUAAACGUUGGGAACUAGAUGUGGGGGCCAUUCCACGGUCUCCGUGUCGCAGCUAACGCAUUAAGUUCCCCG